rnacentral:rRNA from 1 species
CCUACGGGUGGCUGUAGUGAGGAAUAUUGGUCAAUGGACGCAAGUCUGAACCAGCCAUGCCGCGUGCAGGAAGACGGCUCUAUGAGUUGUAAACUGCUUUUGUACGAGGGUAAACGCAGAUACGUGUAUCUGUCUGAAAGUAUCGUACGAAUAAGUAUCGGCUAACUCCGUGCCAGCAGCCGCGGUAAUACGGAGGAGUCAAGCGUUAUCCGGAUUUAUUGGGUUUAAAGGGUGCGUAGGCGGUCGGAUAAGUUAGAGGUGAAAUCCCGAGGCUCAACUUCGGAAUUGCCUCUGAUAUUGUUCGGCUAGAGUGAAGUAUGAGGAAUGCGUGGUGUAGCGGUGAAAUGCAUAGAUAUCGCGCAGAACUCCGAUUGCGAAGGCAGCAUGCCGGCUCCAGAUUGACGCUGAGGCACGAAAGCGUGGGUAUCGAACAGGAUUAGAUACCCUGGUAGUC